GAGUUUGAUCAUGGCUCAGAUUGAACGCUGGCGGCAGGCCUAACACAUGCAAGUCGAGCGGAUGACGGGAGCUUGCUCCUUGAUUCAGCGGCGGACGGGUGAGUAAUGCCUAGGAAUCUGCCUGGUAGUGGGGGGACAACGUUUCGAAAGGAACGCUAAUACCGCAUACGUCCUACGGGAGAAAGCAGGGGACCUUCGGGCCUUGCGCUAUCAGAUGAGCCUAGGUCGGAUUAGCUAGUUGGUGGGGUAAUGGCUCACCAAGGCGACGAUCCGUAACUGGUCUGAGAGGAU
rnacentral:rRNA from 1 species